CGAGUUCUCGUAUGUUCACUGAAGUUAAGCAACGUCGAGCCUGGUCAGUACCUAAAUGGGUGACCGCUUGAGAAUACCAGGUGCUGUAAU